GCCUUUAUAGCUCAGUGGUAGAGCGCAGCACUCGUAUUCAGAAGCUUUCCGGUCUUCUGAAGUACAUGCUGAGGUCACUAGUUCAAUCCUGGUUGGAGGCA